rnacentral:tRNA from 1 species
UAGCAAAUAAAUGCAUUAGAAUUAGAAUCUAAAAAA